AAACUCGGGCUCCUUUUGCUAGGACCUUUCCCUUAGCUGAAAGAAAAAAAGAACCAACCCUAGAUCUAAAAACUCGGGCUCGUUUUGCCGCCUCUGACUUUCAGCCAAUCUCUCCCUCACACGCUCGAUCUCACUCUCAUGAACCUCAGUCCCUCAAUCCACCCUCAAUCCCUUUCACCCUCUCAAGCUCACACACACUCUCAUCCUCCUGCAAUUCCGGCAAAGCAAGUUUGGGUAUGGAAGUUUUGGGUAUAGAAGUUUGGGUAAACAAAGCAUAGACGUCCUCAAGUUUGGUUCGAUUUCUGGUUCGAUUUCGAAUUCUUCAAGCUUGAGACCUGAUAAACAAGAACCCAUCUCUAACACAAGACACAUUUCCACAAGUGAUAGAGUAGACAAAAGGCCAAAUCCAUACAUUCUAGAUCAAAAUCAAUGAAGCAAAUGGCUCCGUAGUCAAAGGCAUCUAUCUAGACGUGGAAACCUUUACGCCACAAACAGGAAAUGAAACAACAACUUUCACACUAGCCCAUCCUCUUCCUGACAAAAAAGAGUCCCUGAUAAACAAAACAGU